AGUGAAUAGAUACCCGGGUAGUCCACGCUGUAAACGAUGAGUGCUGGACGUUGGCGGGUUUACCUGCCGGUGUCGCAGCUAAACGCGUUAAGCACUCCGCCUGGGGAGUACGGCCGCAAGGUUAAAACUCAAAGGAAUUGACGGGGGCCCGCACAAGCGGUGGAGCAUGUGGUUUAAUUCGACGCAACGCGCAGAACCUUACCAGCCCUUGACAUGGGCGGACGGGGUCCAGAGAUGGACUCUUUCUCGCAAGAGACCGCUACACAGGUGCUGCAUGGCUGUCGUCAGCUCGUGACGUGAGAUG
rnacentral:rRNA from 1 species